GCAUGAUGCCUUCGAAUGGAUAAAUUUAUUAAAAGAAAACAAAAGAAAAAAAUAUAUGGGCAACUAAACGAAACCCAUCUAACAAAUUACUUAGAGAAUGUUAGGUUUCUCCGAGAAACCGGAUUUUCAGAUUCAGGAAAGAAAUAAGCACUAAAAUCUUACCAGACAACGUAGGACUUUAAUUAAGAAAAACAUAAUACAGAAAACAUCCAAUAGCUUCCAAAGGGAAGAAAUUGCCUUCAAACCUGGUUCUGAAUAAACUACUCAACACCCUUUUGCAGAUAAGUCUCCCCCUUAAAAGAUAACCCACCUUAGGCAUCAUAACUGCCUCCUAACUACUACAAUUAAUCCCUCUGCUUACUUCUAACUUCUAUGUGUUAUUUUUGCCAACCUGUCCCUUUUUAUUUCUGUUAAACUGUCUAAAAGUUGUCUAAUACAUUACAUAUCCUAUCAUUAUUUGCCGUUGCAAAACAACCUUAUCCUCAAGAUUGUAGUCUGGAAACUGGUUCUUAAUCGUUGUGACAACUUCCCAUGCGACUGCCUCAAGGUUUCCUUUCGGCUGUUGGAUUAAUCCUUUCCUAUUACGUCUACCAAACAGCUUGGUGGAAAAAAAAACAGGCACUUUACUUUGACCUGAAGUUCAAUAAGAAUCCCUUGAUUUGAGUAGCUCUUGUCCCUUUGAUCAACAUCCUGCACCCCUCCUAUGGUCAGACAACCUACUUGAGCACCAUCUAUGUAUGCUGGGCAUGUCAACCGAGUAUCAUGAGUUUGAUUGCAGAAUUUUCCAGCCACGUAAUCCUCCCAACUCUUUGGAGGUUUUCUCAUGAUAUAUCUUAUUGUCCUCAAUGAUAGGAUGAAUGUGUUCUCAUUGUAAUGUAAUGACUCCGGAGGAUCUGUUUCAAGAGAGACUGGAUGAUCGAGAUCUUCACGCAGUCCAAUUUCAACCAUCUUCAGGGCUGAUUGAUGAACUUGUUUAUUGAAAUCUAAACAUCUUCCCACAAUAUUAUCGCAAUAUAAUUGAACUAUAUCCCCAUAUCUGUUUGUAUCCCUAGCACCAGUAGCAACAGUAACACUCUGCCCACCUCCUACUGUGUAGCCAGCAAUGUUACCAUCGUUUUUUAAGUCACCCUUUGGCUAUCAUCAUCUAGCAAAUACUCAUACAUGUUUUGUAAUCCUUGAAUCUGUAAAGAUCUAACUUUGACAACAUAAUCUUUUGCAAACAAAUGCUUAAUAAACAGUCUGACUCGACUUCCAAAAUCAACAAAUUUAUUAUUGGAGUUUGCUAGCAAUCGUUUUCCAUAACAGAUAAGUAAUCCAAGAUAAAAGGGAGAUUGUCGAACUUUCUUGUCCUUCAUGCAUAGGGCCUACCACUUUGUCAAGAAAUACUCUCCCAAUUGGUUUUCUGAUGUUGGGUUUACUAGAGACAUCGAUAUCUUGAAUUUUUGGAUGACUUUUUUCCUCUCCCCGUCCUUGUUACUAUUGUCAUCCUCUCACGUAAAAUUUCCACACUCUCAAUCUGUGUUGUUGCUGCCAAACUCUCAAAUAACAUGUUUCCCAUGUUCCCUUCAACUAUCCUUAGUUGAGUCUUCCCAAGAAAGGUUCUUGGAUUUCUGUUGUCAAGUCUUGGACCCCUUAACUACAUCUUCUCCCAUGUUAUUGAAGGUUAGGUGUACUUUUGAUGUUCCAGUGAUGUUCUAGAGUUCAAAAACAUUUGUUGUCCCCAACACUAAAUACCUUUGAACCAUCCACACUCAAAACAACCUCAUCUUUUACUUAGUUACAAUGGUCCCACCACAUUCAGCCUUCUUUCCUCUGUCUUCACUGUUUUGACAUAUUCACCAAGACCUACCACCCUAUCGCCGCUAAAAACAAUAGCUUUUGAAACUUGAUUUUGAAAAGCAAGAAUUACAACAUUACCAUCACAAUCUUGGUCUCUAUUAGAUAUAUUAUCUUUUAUCUAACAGUCUUUUCCUUCCUCUUCACUAAUAUCCUUUUCUCUUUUCUUCUCUCGAUUGAUGGACUUGUCUCCUCCAUUUGAGGGUUUCUUGGCUUUCUUGAUGUCUUGCAAACUAUCUUUUCCUUCCUUUCAUGAUGUCACGAAGAAGUUCCUCUCUCCCUCCCUUUCUUGCUCUGUCAACAUAUUUUUACCUUCCUUUAGAGUCCCUAUUUUGAAUUUGGUCAUCCAGAAUCCUAUUACAUUCCCAUAUCAUUUCUUCCAAUAUUUGGAAACUUUUUCUCAUCUCUUGACGACAUGUCCUCACCUUUUCCACUUCCUUGGUCCCCCUCUCCAAAGUAUUGACGCAUCCUUCCAUGCUUUCCAUCCUUUUUGAUCUGGAUUUUCAAUUUGUUAGGUUUCUUGGGAACAAGAACUGGAUUUUCAGAUUCAGUACAGCAGUAAGCACUCAAAUCUUACUACUCAAUGUAAGAUAAUAUUUUAAUUAAAGAAACAUAUAGAGAAAACAUCCAACAGCUUCGAAGGGAAGAAAAUCCCUUCAACACAGGUUAAGACCUGGUUCUGAAUAAACUACUCAACACCCUUUUUCAGACAAGUCUCCCCCCUUAAAAGAUAACCCA
rnacentral:lncRNA from 1 species